rnacentral:rRNA from 1 species
UACAGAGGUCUCAAGCGUUGUUCGGAUUCAUUGGGCGUAAAGGGUGCGCAGGCGGCCAAGUGUGUUAGGCGUGAAAGCCCGGGGCUUAACCCCGGAAUUGCACCUAAAACUACAUGGCUAGAGCAUUGGAGAGGGUAGCGGAAUUCACGGUGUAGCAGUGAAAUGCGUAGAUAUCGUGAGGAACACCAGAGGCGAAGGCGGCUACCUGGACAAUUGCUGACGCUCAGGCACGAAAGCGUGGGGAGCAAAAGGG